UACCGAGGUCUCAAGCGUUGUUCGGAUUCAUUGGGCGUAAAGGGUGCGUAGGCGGCGUGGUAAGUCGGAUGUGAAAUCUCGGAGCUUAACUCCGAAACUGCAUUCGAUACUGCCGUGCUUGAGGACUGGAGAGGAGACUGGAAUUUACGGUGUAGCGGUGAAAUGCGUAGAUAUCGUAAGGAAGACCAGUGGCGAAGGCGGGUCUCUGGACAGUUCCUGACGCUGAGGCACGAAGGCCAGGGGAGCAAACGGG
rnacentral:rRNA from 1 species